CCAUUGCUAUCGGAGUCCGAUUUAGCCAUGCUAGUUGUGCGGGUUUAGACCCGCAGCGGAAAGCUCAGUAACACGUGGCCAAACUACCCUGUGGAUGGGAACAAUCUCGGGAAACUGAGGCUAAUUCCCAAUAACGCUCCACCCCUGGAACGGGCGGAGCUGGAAACGCUACGGCGCCACAGGAUGUGGCUGCGGUCGAUUAGGUAGACGGUGGGGUAACGGCCCACCGUGCCAAUAAUCGGUACGGGUUGUGAGAGCAAGAGCCCGGAGACGGAAUCUGAGACAAGAUUCCGGGCCCUACGGGGCGCAGCAGGCGCGAAACCUUUACACUGUACGCAAGUGCGAUAAGGGGACUCCGAGUGUGAAGGCAUAGAGCCUUCACUUUUGUACACCGUAAGGUGGUGUACGAAUAAGGGCUGGGCAAGACCGGUGCCAGCCGCCGCGGUAAUACCGGCAGCCCGAGUGAUGGCCGAUAUUAUUGGGCCUAAAGCGUCCGUAGCUGGCCGGACAAGUCCGUUGGGAAAUCUGUUCGCUUAACGAGCAGGCGUCCAGCGGAAACUGUUCGGCUUGGGACCGGAAGACCUGAGGGGUACGUCCGGGGUAGGAGUGAAAUCCUGUAAUCCUGGACGGACCACCGGUGGCGAAAGCGCCUCAGGAGGACGGAUCCGACAGUGAGGGACGAAAGCUAGGGUCUCGAACCGGAUUAGAUACCCGGGUAGUCCUAGCUGUAAACGAUGCCCGCUAGGUGUGGCGCAGGCUACGAGCCUGCGCUGUGCCGUAGGGAAGCCGAGAAGCGGGCCGCCUGGGAAGUACGUCUGCAAGGAUGAAACU
rnacentral:rRNA from 1 species